rnacentral:sRNA from 1 species
GGGGCAAGAGGUUCGACUCGAGCGCAGCGAGAGAACGUUGCGUCAGCAACGGCCCGCAGGGCGAGCCACGCAGUGGCGAGUCAUCCUCUAUCACCGACCA